rnacentral:lncRNA from 1 species
CAGGUUGAAAUGGGUUUUAUGGGGCGGGUUGUGACGCGGGUGUGUUUGAAUGGGUUAAAAUGGGUUUUGUAUCUAAUGGGUUGGGGCGGGUUGGGUAUAUCGCAAAUGCGGGUUGGGGUGGGUUGGAAGUGGUUCUCUUUUUGUUUGAGUUCGUAUGGGUUUCACUCAUAGGUUUAAGUUUCAAGUUUCGGCUCUUGACGUCGGAUCCAUAUGUGGAUUUAGUCACAGUACUUUGCACAAAGCAGCGGACUGUCAAACUGAUUCAUCUCCAGCAAAUUUUGAUCAAUUUCUCUAAAAUUUUAAGGUGUGAACGCGAGGUUUUAGUUUUAGGGUCCGGCUCUUGAUGUGGGGCCCACAUAUAAGUCCAGCCGCACUACCUUGCACAAAUAGCGGACUAUCAAACUGAUUCACCUCCAGCAAAUUUCGAUCAAUUUCUCUAAAAUUUUAAGGUGUGAACGUGAGGUUUUAGUUUUAGGGUCUAGCUCUUGAUGUGGGGCCCACAUAUAAGUCCAGCCGCACUACCUUGCACAAAGUAGGGGACUGUCCAACUGAUUCAUCUGCAACAAAUUUCAGUCAAUUUCUCUAAAAUUUUAAGGUGUGAACGCGAGGUUUUAGCUUUAGGGUCCAACUCUUGACGCGGGGGCUACAUAUAAGUCCAACCGCACUACCUUACACAAAGUAGCGGACUGUCAAAUUGAUUCAUCU